UCUGUUUCACCUGGACUCGUAAUUAUUGAUGAUACAAGCGUGCGCGCUUCAUAGCCGAUCUAUAUGCGGAUAAAAACGCUUUCUCUACCUCCGUGUUCAUCUCUACACUACUUUUGGAGGAAGUGAUACACGUAUUUGAGAUAUUCCGCAGUAUUUCUCGUCUUUAGGACCCAGCAGAGACAUCUAACCGGAGUCGCGUCCAGUCUUGUUGAAGGUAUGUUAUGUUGUCUAAAAACACUGUCAUUUCGCUAGGAAACUAUAUUGUAACAAUUAAAUACUAAUAUAGACACAUAUAUGUGCUACAUUUUGUUCAGGAAAUUGCUAGUUUUCCCAAGAAGUACGGAAUCUGAGCAUUAUAUUAUUAUUGGUUAUUAUUCGCCGCUAGAGGGCGCUGAAUGGAUCGCAACGUGAGAAAGUUAUCCUGGACGAGCAGAGCAGAAGCUUGCUACAUCGUCUUUUAUCAGAAGAGGAUUCAUGAUCCAUUUCAAGGUUGCUCUGGACCGAGCGAGCUUUAAUCCUCGAUAAUCUUGUUGAGAAAGGUACCCCGGGAGAUGACCACUUCCAGCCUUCCAGUUAUCUUUUCUCCAUUGCUAAACUGGAUUGCUCAGGACAGGUAUUUUAUACCCACACCAAAGAAACUUUUUGAAGUUUGGGGAGAUGCAUCACUGCGGACCCUCUCGUAUUGCAAAAAAAGAAGAGCCUUGGAUCUACCAGUUCAAGCAAACAUUUAAUCUGACAGCCUUGGAGAUCCCACUUUGGAGAUGUCGCUUUAACAACUCAGCCAGCUAUCAUUUCUUCACUGCCAUACAGAUUGUGCAGCAAGAUGGUUCGGCCCUCAUACCAAGAGGCAAAACAAGAAUUUGUUGAUUUGCGACUUCUAGGUGCAUUAUUUAUGACAAUAAAUGCUGGACAUUAUUUAAUUCAUGUGUGUAUACUUGUAUUUCGUUCAGUACUUAGAGGAGGAGGAGCAACAGAGACAGAACCCUCUUGUCCUGCUUUUUGGGGAUGAACUAGACUGCUCUCAGGCGUUUGUUAUUGUGAAAGAUGUGGCAUUAAA